rnacentral:rRNA from 1 species
AGAGUUUGAUCAUGGCUCAGGAUGAACGCUGGCGGCGUGCCUAACACAUGCAAGUCGAGCGAGAAGAUUAUGAUGGAUCCUUCGGGUGACAGAUUAAUUGGAAAGCGGCGGACGGGUGAGUAACGCGUGGGCAACCUGCCCUAUACAAAGGGAUAGCCACUGGAAACGGUGAUUAAUACCUUAUAAGACUACAGCAGCGCAUGCUGAAGUAGUCAAAGCUCCGGCGGUAUAGGAUGGGCCCGCGUUUGAUUAGCUAGUUGGUGAGGUAACGGCUCACCAAGGCGACGAUCAAUAGCCGACCUGAGAGGGUGAUCGGCCACACUGGAACUGAGACACGGUCCAGACUCCUACGGGAGGCAGCAGUGGGGAAUAUUGCACAAUGGGCGCAAGCCUGAUGCAGCAACGCCGCGUGAGUGAUGAAGGUCUUCGGAUUGUAAAACUCUGUUCUUGGGGAAGAAUAAAUGACGGUACCCAAGGAGAAAGUCCCGGCUAACUACGUGCCAGCAGCCGCGGUAAUACGUAGGGGACAAGCGUUAUCCGGAAUCACUGGGCGUAAAGGGUGCGUAGGCGGUCUAGCAAGUCAGAAGUGAAAGGCAUUGGCUCAACCAAUGUAAGCUUUUGAAACUGUUAGACUUGAGUGCAGGAGAGGAAAGUGGAAUUCCUAGUGUAGCGGUGAAAUGCGUAGAUAUUAGGAGGAACA